GAUGAACGCUGGCGGCGUGCCUAAUACAUGCAAGUCGAGCGAACAGACGAGGAGCUUGCUCCUUUGACGUUAGCGGCGGACGGGUGAGUAACACGUGGGUAACCUACCUAUAAGACUGGGAUAACUUCGGGAAACCGGAGCUAAUACCGGAUAAUAUUUCGAACCGCAUGGUUCGAUAGUGAAAGAUGGCUCUGCUAUCACUUAUAGAUGGACCUGCGCCGUAUUAGCUAGUUGGUAAGGUAACGGCUUACAAAGGCAACGAUACGUAGCCGACCUGAGAGGGUGAUCGGCCACACUGGAACUGAGACACGGUCCAGACUCCUACGGGAGGCAGCAGUAGGGAAUCUUCCGCAAUGGGCGAAAGCCUGACGGAGCAACGCCGCGUGAGUGAUGAAGGUCUUCGGAUCGUAAAACUCUGUUAUUAGGGAAGAACAAACGUGUAAGUAACUGUGCACGUCUUGACGGUACCUAAUCAGAAAGCCACGGCUAACUACGUGCCAGCAGCCGCCGUAA
rnacentral:rRNA from 1 species